rnacentral:lncRNA from 7 species
AGUCCCUUAGUUCAACAGACAGUCACACUAGCAGAAAAUGUAUGCUUAAAUCUUGUGGCAAAGUGUAAUUUUUUUUAUUUGUGGAGGCUUUUGAAAAGGCUUGCCUAAAAAUGCAUUUCCAACAGGGCUUUCAGAAGCAGCAGCCCUCUUGGUCUCAAGCCAGGUAGCAAGGCAGUGAUUUGCAGCCGCUCACUACAAUUUCUUGGGAAAGCUGCAUUCAGAGUGAAUCACUGACUGCACACCAGAUCCAGCUGAGAUUCGGACUCAAAUUGUUCAGAGUUAGCUCAACCAGGUGAAGGACAAACUCACAAAGAUUUCACUGAAAGCAAAGUUAAGAUCACCCAGCUUUCCAGCAUGUGAGCAACACCUGCUGUACGUUCACAAAUCCACAAACUCAUCUGGAUUUUUCUUUGGUAGACAAAACAGAGAGUCUUGCUGACCAUCCAUUGCUGUUAGGUACACAAGUCAGCAAUUUGACAGGAAUGGUUUAAACAUUGAUCCAACAAAAUACAUGUGCUGAAUCAAGCAAUAGAAAAGAGCAGGCAUGUGGAGACCUCAGCACUGAAAAGUGAUUUAGAAAGAAACAGAAGUUGCAGAGAGAAAAAGCCAUGGCAGGAUCGAGUCUGAAGAACUGAGAAGCUGCAGCUAUCAUUCUCAAAGGGGUUGCCUACAAUAGGCAGUCUUCAGAGUACUGGAUCAUCUCCAGAUAUGAAGCAGUUUAAAACAAUGAAGAAUAUUAGAGAACAAAAAACAGCAUUGAAAUGUUCUCCUGAAGGAAAAAUGUGCAUGAUCGGUUGAAGGAAAAAAUGUAGUUGGUUAUGGCAGGGUGUGUUGACUAAGUAUAGACACUUAAAAUGAGAAAAUAGCAUAUGAGAAAAUAAUCCAUGUAAUGUGUUGCUUUCAUGUGGUUCCAUUCCCUUACUCACCACGUUUAUAUCUCAACAAGAAAAUUCCUUCUUAAUUUUUUCAAAACCAGCACUCCACUGAAAUCUGAAAAAUAAUAUCAAUUGACUUUAAAAGUGGAUCUGAAUUCCCACCCAACACAGUCUAUUUAGGUAAAAAAACUGAGUAGAUAGUUAUUUGGCGACAUCAGUCAUCAGCGCCAACUGAUUUGUUUUCUGUUUUCUGUUCUUUUUAUGGAAAUAGCUCUAGACCUAGCCUCUGACACUACUCCACAGAGUAUACAUACAUGACAAUUAUAAACCUAUCUUCUGGUUUGCUUAUUAAAUUUAUGAAGACUUGUAAGAUGGGUUUUCCACUUCCCUUAUGUCCUAGCAGCCUUUUUCUGUACCUUUUCCAGUGUAAGUUAGUCCUUUCUGAAAACAAAUGACUAGAAUUAUUCACACCAUUUAAGAUGAAAUUAACUCAGGGCAUUGCAGAUAGCCCCAUCUUCAGUGGAAAAAUACCAUCUGGCAUAUUUUAGGUUCAUGUUCAUCUUGCUUACAAUGAUAGCCAUUCUCUGAUCAAUUAAUAUAUCUAUGCCUUGCUCCUCCUUUUUCUAGCAGUAGUGCUACAACACUGCACAAGAAACUGUGAUGAGUACUCUGUAACAGUACAGGCUUGCUCAGCAUACUUGAAUAUCUGCUCUCUCUUUUGAUUCAGUCCUCAGAGUUUGCAUCUCCUCCUCAGUAUUUUGAUUCUCUCAAUUUUGGACCAAUUUCACAAGUCUGAGUAUGUGAAUUUUUUACCAUUAAUUUUUGAAAGUGAAGUGUAUGAUUAAAUUUAUUU